UCGAUUCUGUUUUGGUUAGGUUUCGGUUUUCGAUUCUUAAAAUAUAGGAACUGUUCGGUUUUUUGUGAACUUCGACUCGGUUUCAGGUUAGGAUUUUCCGGUUCGAUCCCGGUUUGGUUUUUGGUUCCCGGUUUAUAUUCCCAGACCUACACUAUUUUAUGCGUGUGAUAAAUAGAAUCACAUUGGCUUGGGAAUUCCAAACCGAUACGCGUCUUCUAGCCUCUAGGAAGAAAAUUUGGAAGGCGGCAUUAAGAAAUUACAUUGAUUUAGUUUCUUGAUUUGAUGCGUUUUAACGUUUCUACUUUCUAGUUUCUUCUACAUAAUAUACAAAUUAACCAGAAGCUUUUGAAGUUUAUG
rnacentral:lncRNA from 1 species